rnacentral:sRNA from 1 species
GUCCCUGAAAAAGAAGGGGCCGGGUUUUGCAGCCUGAUUAACAAAGCGCACAAACCGCGCAAUGCGGUUUUUUU